GGGUAUAUAGCUCAGUUGGUAGAGUGAUUGCUUUGCAUGCAGAAGGCCCUGGGUUGAAUCCUCAGCACCACCCA
rnacentral:tRNA from 1 species